rnacentral:lncRNA from 1 species
GCUGAAGACUUUACUGACUGUGAUAUCACAGAAAAUGCACUGGCUGUAUGUCUAGUUCAUCUUACCAACUCUGGAAUCAAUCUGAAAGCUUGUGGUAAAGAUGACAAGGGAGACUCCACAGUGGUUCUGCAAGGAGUUUAUGAUUCUCAAGAAGUCUUUUAAAUAGCAGGGCUUCCUCCACUCUGUACGGGUUCAGUAACAUGACAUCGGCUCUGGAUGUGACCAGCCACGCAUCAGGAAACUUGAGACUGUGGAUCAGAGACCCUCUUGUGUGCUUAGGAUAAACUCCAAACAGAGCACAGAAAUCGGCCCCUGAAAAGCAGUCAAAAGCAAAUGAGAAAGGACUUGUACUUGCAUCCAUGAAGCCCGACCCAGCAUUAGCAGGUGGGAGCUGCAGGAAUCAGCUAGGAGAUGGAUGGCACUUAUUACUCUGUAUCAUCAGAACACAGAUCCUUGCUUCCAGAACAACUUAAAAUCAAGAGAAAAUCCCAUGUGUGAGAGCUCUCAGGAAAACAUUAAAACGCUAAUGAACUGAA